UACGUAGGUGGCAAGCGUUGUCCGGAAUUAUUGGGCGUAAAGCGCGCGCAGGCGGUUCCUUAAGUCUGAUGUGAAGGCUCCCGGCUCAACCGGGGAGGGUCAUUGGAAACUGGCAGACUUGAGUGCAGAAGAGGAGAGUGGGAUUCCAUGUGUAGCGGUGAAAUGCGCAGAGAUAUGGAGGAACACCAGUGGCGAAGGCGGCUCUCUGGUCUGCAACUGACGCUGAGGCGCGAAAGCGUGGGGAGCAAACAGG
rnacentral:misc_RNA from 1 species